rnacentral:tRNA from 1 species
GGAGGGAUAGCCUAACUGGUAAGGCACCAGCCUCGAAAGUUGGCGACGGGCAACUGUCUUGAGAGUUCGAGUCUCUCUCCCUCCGCCA